GGACGUGGGGACAGGCAGACACAGGGACAAGGGGACAGGUUGACAGGGGGACGGGAGGACAUGGGGGACAAGAGGACAUGGGGACAGGGGUGACAGCAUGCCAAGGGUGACAAGGACACAGGGAGACAGGUUGACAGGGGGACAGAUGGACAUGGGAACAGAUGGACAUGGGGACGGGGGGACAUGGGGACAGGGGUGACAUGGGGACAGAUGGACAUGGGGACAUGGGAACAGGGGUCAGGGGGACAGAUGGACAUGGGGACAGAUGGACAUGGGGACAGGGGUGACAGCAUGCCAAGGGUGACAAGGGGAUGGGGGGACAAGGGGACAGGGGGACAAUGGGGACAUGGGGAUAAGAGGACAGGGGAACAGGGGGACAGAUGGACAUGGGUGACACAAUGGGUGACACAAUGGGUGACACAACGCCAUGGGUGACUUUGAGGGUGACACAGUGGGUGACACAAAGCCACAGGUGACACAAUGGGUAACACAACACCAUGGGUGACACAACAGGUGACACUGGGUGACACAAUGGGUAACACAACACCAUGGGUGACACAACAAGUGACACUGGGUGACACAAAGGGUGACACAACACCAUGGGUGACGCGACAGGUGACACAACGGGUGACACGACGUGUGACUCAAAGCCACAGGUGACACAGUGGGUGACACAAAGCCACAAGUGACAUGAGGGUGACACGAUGGGUGACACAAUGUGGAGGGUGACACCAUGGACACACAAUAGGUGACACAACACCAUGGGUGACACAAUGGGUGACACAAGGGUGACAUGAUGGGUGACACAAUGUGGAAAGUGAUACCAUGGACACACAACGGGUAACAAAACACUAUGGGUGACACAGUGGAUGACACAAUGGGUGACACAACACCAUGGGUGACACAGUGUCUGACAGAGCACCACAGCUGACACUGUGGGUGACACGAGGGGUGACUCAAAGCCACAGGUGACACAGCGGGUGACACAAAGCCAUGGGUGACACGAGGGUGACACGAUGGGUGACACAAUGUGGAGGGUGAUACCAUCGAACUCACAACAGGUGACACAACACCAC
rnacentral:lncRNA from 1 species